UUGGAGGGCAAGUCUGGUGCCAGCAGCCGCGGUAAUUCCAGCUCCAAUAGCGUAUAUUAAAGUUGUUGCAGUUAAAAAGCUCGUAGUUGAAUUUCGGGAUCGGCGGAUCGGUCGCGCCAUCGGUGUGUACUGGUCCAGUCGGUUUCUCCCUUCUGACAAACCACGAUGUCAUUAAUUUGGUGUCGCGGGGAAUCAGGACUGUUACUUUGAAAAAAUUAGAGUGUUUAAAGCAGGCAUUCGCUUGAAUACAUUAGCAUGGAAUAAUGAAAUAGGACGUUUGAUCUUAUUUUGUUGGUUUCUAAGAUCGACGUAAUGAUUAAUAGGGAUAGUUGGGGGCAUUAGUAUUCAAUUGUCAGAGGUGAAAUUCUUGGAUUUAUUGAAGACUAACUACUGCGAAAGCAUUUGCCAAGGAUGUUUUCAUUAAUCAAGAACGAAAGUUAGGGGAUCGAAGACGAUCAGAUACCGUCGUAGUCUUAACCAUAAACUAUGCCGACUAGGGAUCGGAUGAUGUUAAUUUUUUAAUGACUCAUUCGGCGCCUUACGGGAAAC
rnacentral:rRNA from 1 species